rnacentral:rRNA from 1 species
GACGAACGCUGGCGGCGUGCUUAACACAUGCAAGUCGUACGGUAAGGCCCUUUCGGGGGUACACGAGUGGCGAACGGGUGAGUAACACGUGAGUAACCUGCCCACAACUUUGGGAUAACGCUAGGAAACUGGUGCUAAUACUGGAUAUGUGCUCCUGCUGCAUGGUGGGGGUUGGAAAGCUCCGGCGGUUGUGGAUGGACUCGCGGCCUAUCAGCUUGUUGGUGGGGUAGUGGCCUACCAAGGCGGCGACGGGUAGCCGGCCUGAGAGGGUGACCGGCCACAUUGGGACUGAAAUACGGCCCAGACUCCUACGGGAGGCAGCAGUGGGGAAUAUUGCACAAUGGGCGCAAGCCUGAUGCAGCAACGCCGCGUGCGGGAUGACGGCCUUCGGGUUGUAAACCGCUUUCAGCAGGGACGAAGCUUUUUGUGACGGUACCUGCAGAAGAAGCACCGGCUAACUACGUG